rnacentral:rRNA from 1 species
ACGGGUGAGUAACACGUGGGCAACCUGCCCUUGAGACUGGGAUAACUUCGGGAAACCGGAGCUAAUACCGGAUAAUAUAAGGAACCUCCUGGUUCCUUAUUGAAAGAUGGUUUCGGCUAUCACUUAAGGAUGGGCCCGCGGCGCAUUAGCUAGUUGGUGAGGUAACGGCUCACCAAGGCGACGAUGCGUAGCCGACCUGAGAGGGUGAUCGGCCACACUGGGACUGAGACACGGCCCAGACUCCUACGGGAGGCAGCAGUAGGGAAUCUUCCACAAUGGACGAAAGUCUGAUGGAGCAACGCCGCGUGAGUGAUGAAGGCCUUCGGGUCGUAAAGCUCUGUUGUUAGGGAAGAACAAGUGCGAGAGUAACUGCUCGCACCUUGACGGUACCUAACCAGAAAGCCACGGCUAACUACGUGCCAGCAGCCGCGGUAAUACGUAGGUGGCAAGCGUUAUCCGGAAUUAUUGGGCGUAAAGCGCGCGCAGGUGGUUUCUUAAGUCUGAUGUGAGAGCCCACGGCUCAACCGUGGAGGGUCAUUGGAAACUGGGGAACUUGAGUGCAGAAGAGGAAAGUGGAAUUCC